UGACAGAAAGCUGGAGAUGGGGGAAGGAGUUCACCUGCCACUCAAAGGCCCGGGUGGUAGCUGGAUGGAGGCCAACCUUUGACGAUGCGGUUCCUCCGUCUGGAGUGCUUCUCUUCGCAACAACCUCUUUUCUUCAAUCCCACCUAAAUGUUGCCUCCUAAGGAAGCCUUCCUCAACUCUCCAGGCAGACGGUGUCCCUUCCUGGGUGCCCAGGGUGCCCCAUUUGUGCCACUAAAUCAGCAGUGUUCACAGUGUGUCACUGUCCCCUCCACUCGUUCCCGCCCUGUGAGCUGGCCGCGUGUCCUACUCACAUUGCCUGGAGAGUCCGCACGCUGCGGAACCUCAAGAAAUAUUUGUCGGCUUCCACCAGUACGCGGCCCGGGAGGGGGAUGUGGAGACCCUGUCCCUGGAGGAGCUGAAGGCCCUGCUCAGGGACAACGUGCCCCGCUUCAUGGAGAGCCUGGGCCGGGAGAAGCCGUACUUCGUCACCGAGCUGUUCCGGGCAGCGGACAAGGACAAGGACAACCAGAUCUGCUUUGACGAGUUCCUGUACGUCCUGGGCCAGCUGCUGAGGGACUACCACCUGCAGUACCACCGGCAGCUGUGCGCCCACUACUGUGCCCAGCACAGCCUCUACUAGAGGAAGUGGACAGCCCCCAGGCCUGCCCCAGGAGCCACGUGACCCAGCCAGGCGGCCGAGUGGAGCUCUGCCACGCGUGUCUGCGUGUGCCCGUGUGUGUGCGCACGCAUGUGCAUGGGUGUGGAAGGACACCUGGGAGGGAAGAGAAUAAAGCAACUUCCCAGCA